UGAUGACAUUAUGGUGUAUUC
rnacentral:siRNA from 1 species